rnacentral:rRNA from 1 species
GAUGAACGCUGGCGGCGUGCCUAAUACAUGCAAGUCGAACGAAGAUCUAGCUUGCUAGAUCUUAGUGGCGAACGGGUGAGUAAUACAUAAAUAAUCUGCCCAUAUGACUGGGAUAACUAUUGGAAACGAUAGCUAAUACCGGAUAGGUUGAUCGGAGGCAUCUCUGAUGGAUUAAAGUAGGAUUUCUACACAAAUGGAUGAGUUUAUGGCGCAUUAGUUAGUUGGUGGGGUAACGGCCUACCAAGACGAUGAUGCGUAGCCGACCUGAGAGGGUGACCGGCCACACUGGGACUGAGACACGGCCCAGACUCCUACGGGAGGCAGCAGUAGGGAAUUUUCGGCAAUGGGCGCAAGCCUGACCGAGCAACGCCGCGUGAGUGAUUAAGGCCUUCGGGUUGUAAAGCUCUGUUGUAAGGGAAGAACAUUCAGGAUAGGAAAUGAUCUUGAACUGACGGUACCUUACCAGAGAGCCACGGCUAACUACGUGCCAGCAGCCGCGGUAA